UACGUAGGCAGCAAGCGUUGUUCGGAAUUACUGGGCGUAAAGAGUGUGUAGGCGGUGCUCUAAGUCUGUUGUGAAAUCUCCCGGCUUAACUGGGAGGGUGCGGCGGAAACUGGAGUGCUCGAGUGUGGGAGAGGUAAGCGGAAUUCCUGGUGUAGCGGUGAAAUGCGUAGAUAUCAGGAGGAACACCUGUGGUGUAGACAGCUUACUGGACCGCGACUGACGCUGAGACACGAAAAGCGUGGGUAGCAAACAGG
rnacentral:rRNA from 1 species